rnacentral:rRNA from 1 species
AUUGAACGCUGGCGGCAUGCUUUACACAUGCAAGUCGAACGGUAACAGGCCGCAAGGUGCUGACGAGUGGCGAACGGGUGAGUAAUGCAUCGGAACGUGCCCAGUCGUGGGGGAUAACUACUCGAAAGAGUAGCUAAUACCGCAUACGAUCUAUGGAUGAAAGCGGGGGACCGUAAGGCCUCGCGCGAUUGGAGCGGCCGAAGUCAGAUUAGGUAGUUGGUGGGGUAAAGGCUCACCAAGCCAACGAUCUGUAGCUGGUCUGAGAGGACGACCAGCCACACUGGGACUGAGACACGGCCCAGACUCCUACGGGAGGCAGCAGUGGGGAAUUUUGGACAAUGGGCGCAAGCCUGAUCCAGCAAUGCCGCGUGCAGGAAGAAGGCCUUCGGGUUGUAAACUGCUUUUGUACGGAACGAAACGGCUCUGGUUAAUACCCGGGGCUAAUGACGGUACCGUAAGAAUAAGCACCGGCUAACUACGUG